AGAGUUUGAUCCUGGCUCAGGACGAACGCUGGCGGCGUGCUUAACACAUGCAAGUCGAACGAAAAGAGGGAAAGAGCUUGCUCUUUCCGGAAUUGAGUGGCAAACGGGUGAGUAACACGUAAACAACCUGCCUUCAGGAUGGGGACAACAGACGGAAACGACUGCUAAUACCGAAUAAGUUCCAAGAGCCGCAUGGCUCAUGGAAGAAAAGGUGGCCUCUACCUGUAAGCUAUCGCCUGAAGAGGGGUUUGCGUCUGAUUAGCUGGUUGGAGGGGUAACGGCCCACCAAGGCGACGAUCAGUAGCCGGUCUGAGAGGAUGAACGGCCACACUGGAACUGAGACACGGUCCAGACUCCUACGGGAGGCAGCAGUGGGGAAUCUUCCGCAAUGGGCGAAAGCCUGACGGAGCAACGCCGCGUGAGUGAUGACGGCCUUCGGGUUGUAAAACUCUGUGAUCCGGGACGAAAAGGCAGAGUGCGAAGAACAAACUGCAUUGACGGUACCGGAAAAGCAAGCCACGGCUAACUACGUGCCAGCAGCCGCGGUAAUACGUAGGUGGCAAGCGUUGUCCGGAAUUAUUGGGCGUAAAGCGCGCGCAGGCGGCUUCCCAAGUCCCUCUUAAAAGUGCGGGGCUUAACCCCGUGAUGGGAAGGAAACUGGGAAGCUGGAGUAUCGGAGAGGAAAGUGGAAUUCCUAGUGUAGCGGUGAAAUGCGUAGAGAUUAGGAAGAACACCGGUGGCGAAGGCGACUUUCUGGACGAAAACUGACGCUGAGGCGCGAAAGCGUGGGGAGCAAACAGGAUUAGAUACCCUGGUAGUCCACGCCGUAAACG
rnacentral:rRNA from 1 species